rnacentral:rRNA from 1 species
GAUGAACGCUAGCGGCAGGCCUAACACAUGCAAGUCGAGGGGUAACAGGGAGUGCUUGCACUCCGCUGACGACCGGCGCACGGGUGCGCACCGCGUAUGGAACCUACCUUUUACAGGGGAAUAGCCUUUGGAAACGAAGAUUAAUGCCCCAUAGCACCUAUUUUCAGCAUUGUUAAUAGGUUAAAGGCUUCGGCCGGUAAAAGAUGGCCAUGCGUCCCAUUAGCUUGAUGGUAAGGUAACGGCUUACCAUGGCUACGAUGGGUAGGGGCCCUGAGAGGGGGAUCCCCCACACUGGUACUGAGACACGGACCAGACUCCUACGGGAGGCAGCAGUGAGGAAUAUUGGACAAUGGAGGAGACUCUGAUCCAGCCAUGCCGCGUGCAGGAAGAAUGCCCUAUGGGUAGUAAACUGCUUUUAUACGGGAAGAAAAAGGGCUACGUGUAGCCCACUGACGGUACCGUAAGAAUAAGGACCGGCUAACUCCG